UCUUUUUUUUUUUAAUGGGGUUUAAACAAUUUGUACUUUCCUUUUGCCAAAAUACUGAUAAGCACUUCACCUUUCCUUUUUAUUCAAGGUUUUCCUAUAGGCACCCACAUGAAAAAGGAAACGUGAAUCCCUGCUCCUUUGGCCAUUUAGUAAAGAUGAAAAUAAUGACAGAGGGAUGUUUAGAAUAUGUUUCUGUCACCUGUGUUUGCAAAGUUUCUUUAUGUUGUGUAACAACAAAUGGAUAUAUAAAACACACAAGAAUUUACUAUAUUAUCCUGACUUACCAAAAGUGUUAUAAAGAAGUUUCACUCAAGACUGUGGUCAAGAUUGUGGCAUUUAUAACACCGGCAUUAAAAAACAAUUCUAAUUCAGAGAAAUAGUAUGUGGACACUCACUAGGCUUAUGUGGAUAAAUACAAAGGCAAAUAAUAUCAAUAUUAUAUUAUAAAGUCUUGCAAUGGCAAAACUGAUUUGUCUUAAUUUUGAAAGGUCCUCUAGUAUAGCAAGUUGAUUUUCUAUUGUUUCAUGAAAAAUUUACACCUACAGAGGAGAAAACCCAGGUUUGAACACAGUCCCUCUCUAGCGGUUACUUCUCUUCACCUUUUUCUCCAGUGCAGAACUACCACUUGGGCACGUUGCCAGAGUGUUCUGAAAACACAGUGAUAGAAUUGGAAACCUCAGGGUCAAAAACCUAGUAACACAUUAUUUUUCCCUGCAUUAUAAGUUUUUAAAUAUUACUCAUUUCCAGUAUUACCUACAAUGUGCUUGAAGUGAAAUAUCUUAAGCCUUUCUGCCAUUAAUGACACUGAAGUAUGGCUUAACUGGAAUUCCAUUGACAGGGCUAUGUCUUGUGCUACUACAGCUUAUCUUCUAUCAUCCCACAUUUACAGUUUUUGUUUCGUUUGAAAUGGCAUUUAAACUACAGCAAUAACUUCAACAUCUUCAGUGCAUCCAUCCUAGCUCCCCUGACUCAUGCCAUCCUGACUGCCACAGCUCACCAAAACAAUUCCCCUUCCAGCUUCAGCUCAAAACCUGAGUCCUUUUCUCAGGCAUGCCCCAGAGCCAUUAACAUUGGACUCUCACAUAUGCAAUCUUUCACAACUUGUAAAUUUACCAGGGAAUGAGAAAGAGUGUAAAAAGAGAUCACUUACUCACUUUGAGGAGGAAAAAAAAGUAUCAGACAAGCAUUUCUUAGUAAUACUCUGAUGGCUAUAAAAAGUUCAUUAAAUCCAGAUCUGAGGAGAAAAAUAGCAUUACUUGAGACUCAUGAUAAAAUUAGGUGCCAAUAACACAAAGGACUUGUAAGCUUUUGAGAAAGGGUUUUGUAAUAAUAGCUACAUCUCAGUUCUCCAGGUUCCUAAGAUGAAAGGUUUCUAUAAAAGAGCAGUUAUUUUGUUCUUUAUGAAAAGAGUCAGCAUGACAGAAAAGAUCCCAUCCUGGGACCUAUAAUUGUCUGCCUCAAAAAGAUCAGGAUUAAGAAAAUCACAAAAUCAAGGCAGUGAGUCCAAGAACAUUGAAUGGACAAAAUAAUGUGCCACAAAAUAUUUUUUUAAACUACUGCACCAUUUUAAGUUUUCAAAAGAUGCAAUUAUGUUUAAAUAAGACUGUCAGUUUUAUAUUUUAUUAUACCCAGACCUUCAAAAAUGGAGUUUACUUAUAUAACUCAUACCACAUUAAAAUUUUAAAGCUUUGCUUAUUUUCUGUUAUCAGGAUGAUACCACUGCUCCAUGUUUUUUCUUGAGUCCUUGGUUUCUCUGUGUAAAUUCAAACACAUAUUGGAAGUGCAGGAAAUCUCAUGCUUCAACUCUCAUUUCACCACCUUAGACUGAAAAACACUGACCCAACAAAGGGAAAAAAGAUUAGAGUAGGACCAAAGUGGGUCAUUUGAUGGCUUUUUUGAAAGCAUGUCUUACUUUAAACCACAACAGAGUAUUUUAGAAACUAAGCAAGUCAGUGGCUUCAGGAAUAGGAAUGGAAGUACCAAAAAGGUGAGUUAAGGUCAGUGAAGAUAAAGCCACAUGUAUGUUAUUAACAGACAAGAGCUUGCACAAACUUACCCAGCCAUCAAUAAGCACAGAUGUGAAUAAACAAAUGCUAUAACUGCUAAGAGAUUUAAUUGUGACAUACAGUUUAAGGGAGGAAAUGAAGUCAGAGACACAGCAUAAAUAACUUCUCUGUACAGUAUAUAUAAUGCCAAAGAAUUGCCAAGACAGACAAUAUUUUUUACAUAUAGUCAAGAUAACUAAAUACUGUUUUCUACGCACAAGAGUCCUGAACAUUUAUUGAGGGGAAAAAAAAAAAAAA
ensembl:lncRNA